rnacentral:tRNA from 1 species
GCCGAUUUAGGCUCAGCGGUAGAGCAAGCUGGCUGUUAACCAGUUGGUCACAAGUUCGAUCCUUGUAAUCGGCGCCA